AACCUUCCUGCUGAGGCAGCCGGCUGGCACACAGCCCCAGGAUCGAACCCAGCAUCAGUGUCCUUUCCCAUCCAGCUGUGCUGCCCCCUGGACACUUUCCCUGCAGACUUCCCUGGGGGAGCCCCUGUGACCUGCUUCCGUUCCCGUUUACUGCGGCCUGUUUCAGACAGACAUGAGGCAGGUGUGAAAGUUGUGGCUGAAUGGAAAGCCCAAGUUUGAGCUGCUUGGUCAGAUGCCUCCGUAAAGGACUUGGCCUGCUUUGUUAGUAAGGUUUUAAAAUCUGCAGGGCGGAGGUCGAGUGGUGUAACCAUAGAAAUGAGAACGGUGUCCAUUUCCAUCACGAAGACUCUCAGGCGCAGGAAGUUGUAGUUUUUUACUCUCAUAGGGUUUGAGGUUAUAGACUGAAUUAGGAAUGGAAAAAACUUGUUGACUGUCAUUAAAUAAUGCCUCUCAAUAUUUCAGAAGGCAUCUCCUUGCCCUGAGAGCAUGACAUAGCAGAAAGAGCUUUGGAGUCAGGCAAGUGUGAUUGGAGUCCAAGCUCUGUCACUUACUGACUGUGUGACCUUGGAAAAGUGAUUUAUCUAGCUGGAGCCUCUGUUUCCUCUUCCAUAAAGUGGUUUAAUAAUAUAUCUUUCAGAAGUUGUUGUGAGCACAACAUGGCCACCAGUAAUACAGAUUCACUGCCGACACCCCAACAUCCUGAGACACAGACUAGCUGUCUCUUUGGUUUCCUUGGGGCAUCACAAUGGACCCCAGAAGCUUCCUAUCAAAUGUGUAGCACUCAACCUUGCUCUUGCUUUAAAGGAACCAGAAGCCAGGUGACAGGACCAUCUCAAGAAGAUGGAAGCGGAAGCCUGCUGGAAACUGACUUGGCUGAGACUUCUGGUUCAAUGCAUCAUGAAGCUAGCAGUUGUCCCCAACUUCUUACUAACGAAGAAAAUCCAUAGAUGCCGUAGUGCUGGCCCGGAGCUGGGUGUCUUUCGGGACAAAGAGUUCUCAUUACGACACACAACAACAACAAAGCAAGAACAACAGAGCAGUGGAUGUAACCAUGCCAGGCAAGCCUGCAUGUUAAGAAACAGAAUAAAAAGAAAUAAAAAUUUAUGAACA
rnacentral:lncRNA from 1 species